GCUCCCAUACACUAACGGUUAGGUGGUAGCCCUUUCACGGCUAAGGUCUCGGUUCGAACCCGGGUGGGAGUA
rnacentral:tRNA from 1 species